UCCGUGGCUCGAGGGUAGAACGGUUGGCGGCGCGUCUAAUACAUGCAAGUCGAGUGGGUUUAGACCCACGGCGGACGGCUGAGUAACACGUUGGUAGCUCGCCCUCCAUUCAGGGAUAACCUUUCGAAAGAAAGACUAAUACCGGAUAGUCCCGCAAGGGUAAAGAUUUAUCGAUGGAGGAGGCGCCUGCGUCCUAUCAGUUAGUUGGUGAGGUAACGGCUCACCAAGACGAUGACGGGUAGCUGGUCUGAGAGGACGACCAGCCAGAGGGAAACUGAGACACGGUUCCCACUCCUACGGGAGGCAGCAGUAAAGAAUCUUCCGCAAUGGACGAAAGUCUGACGGAGCGACGCCGCGUGCAGGAUGAAGGCCUUCGGGUUGUAAACUGCUUUUCUGAAAGAAUAAUUCUGAAGGUAUUUCAGGAAUAAGUACCGGCAAAUCUCGUG
rnacentral:rRNA from 1 species